UAGCUGAGUGGUAAAGCGCUUGACUUCAAUCCCGGUGGUCCCAGGUUUCGAAUCCUGG
rnacentral:tRNA from 1 species